rnacentral:rRNA from 1 species
UACGAAGGGGGGCUAGCGUUGUUCGGAAUUACUGGGCGUAAAGCGCACGUAGGCGGAUAUUUAAGUCAGGGGUGAAAUCCCAGAGCUCAACUCUGGAACUGCCUUUGAUACUGGGGUAUCUUGAGUAUGGAAGAGGUAAGUGGAAUUGCGAGUGUAGAGGUGAAAUUCGUAGAUAUUCGCAGGAACACCAGUGGCGAAGGCGGCUUACUGGUCCAUAACUGACGCUGAGGUGCGAAAACGUGGGGGACAAAC